rnacentral:rRNA from 1 species
UACGAAGGGGGGCUAGCGUUGCUCGGAAUCACUGGGCGUAAAGCGCACGUAGGCGGAUCUUUUAAGUCAGGGGUGAAAUCCUGGAGCUCAACUCCAGAACUGCCUUUGAUACUGGGGGAUCUCGAGUCCGGAAGAGGUGAGUGGAACUCCGAGUGUAGAGGUGAAAUUCGUAGAUAUUCGGAAGAACACCAGUGGCGAAGGCGGCUCACUGGUCCGGUACUGACGCUGAGGUGCGAAA